UACGUAGGGGGCAAGCGUUGUCCGGAAUUAUUGGGCGUAAAGAGCGCGUAGGCGGUCCGAUAAGUCGGCUGUGAAAGUCCAGGGCUCAACCCUGGGAUGCCGGUCGAUACUGCCGGACUAGAGUUCGGAAGAGGAGAGUGGAAUUCCUGGUGUAGCGGUGAAAUGCGUAGAGAUCGGGAGGAACACCAGAGGCGAAGGCGGCGACCUGGACAGUAACUGACACUCAACUACGAAAGCGUGGGGAGCAAACAGG
rnacentral:rRNA from 1 species